UACUGACUACAGUCAAUGCCACUAAUACAGGGAGUGGAGAGUUGGUACGCCGUACAUUGCACACAAGGUCCGAACCAGCAGUCUGUGACUGACAUGUGGCGCAUGGUCUGGGAGAAUGACGUCAGCCGACCGAUGACGUCAGGUGUGUCGGCUGGUGGAGGC